CACGUAGGGUGCGAGCGUUGUCCGGAAUUAUUGGGCGUAAAGAGCUCGUAGGCGGUGUGUCGCGUCGGCCGUGAAAACCUGCAGCUUAACUGUGGGCUUGCGGUCGAUACGGGCAUCACUGGAGUUCGGCAGGGGAGACUGGAAUUCCUGGUGUAGCGGUGAAAUGCGCAGAUAUCAGGUGGAACACCGGUGGCGAAGGCGGGGUCCUGGGCCAGUACUGACGCUGAGGAGCGAAAGCGUGGGGAGCAAACAGG
rnacentral:rRNA from 1 species